UGGGGAAUUUUGCGCAAUGGGCGAAAGCCUGACGCAGCAACGCCGCGUGCGGGAUGAAGGCUCUCGGGUCGUAAACCGCUUUCAGCAGGGAUGAAUAUGACAGUACCUGCAGAAGAAGCCCCGGCUAAAUACGUGCCAGCAGCCGCGGUAAUACGUAUGGGGCAAGCGUUAUCCGGAUUCAUUGGGCGUAAAGCGCGCGUAGGCGGCUUGCUAAGCGAGGAGUGAAAUCUGGGGGCUCAACCCGCAGCUUGCUUCUCGAACUGGCAGGCUUGAGUCUGGUAGAGGAAAGUGGAAUUCCUGGUGUAGCGGUGAAAUGCGCAGAUAUCAGGAGGAACACCAGUGGCGAAGGCGGCUUUCUGGGCCACGACUGACGCUGAGGCGCGAAAGCUAGGGGAGCGAACAG
rnacentral:rRNA from 1 species